UACGUAGGGUGCAAGCGUUGUCCGGAAUUAUUGGGCGUAAAGAGCUCGUAGGCGGUCUGUCGCGUCGGCUGUGAAAACUCGGGGCUCAACCCCGAGCCUGCAGUCGAUACGGGCAGACUAGAGUGCUGUAGGGGAGACUGGAAUUCCUGGUGUAGCGGUGAAAUGCGCAGAUAUCAGGAGGAACACCGGUGGCGAAGGCGGGUCUCUGGG
rnacentral:rRNA from 1 species